CGGCAGGCCUAACACAUGCAAGUCGAGCGGAAACGAGUUAUCUGAACCUUCGGGGAACGAUAACGGCGUCGAGCGGCGGACGGGUGAGUAAUGCCUAGGAAAUUGCCCUGAUGUGGGGGAUAACCAUUGGAAACGAUGGCUAAUACCGCAUAAUACCUACGGGUCAAAGAGGGGGACCUUCGGGCCUCUCGCGUCAGGAUAUGCCUAGGUGGGAUUAGCUAGUUGGUGAGGUAAUGGCUCACCAAGGCGACGAUCCCUAGCUGGUCUGAGAGGAUGAUCAGCCACACUGGAACUGAGACACGGUCCAGACUCCUACGGGAGGCAGCAGUGGGGAAUAUUGCACAAUGGGCGCAAGCCUGAUGCAGCCAUGCCGCGUGUGUGAAGAAGGCCUUCGGGUUGUAAAGCACUUUCAGUCGUGAGGAAGGUGGUAGUGUUAAUAGCACUAUCAUUUGACGUUAGCGACAGAAGAAGCACCGGCUAACUCCGUGCCAGCAGCCGCGGUAAUACGGAGGGUGCGAGCGUUAAUCGGAAUUACUGGGCGUAAAGCGCAUGCAGGUGGUUUGUUAAGUCAGAUGUGAAAGCCCGGGGCUCAACCUCGGAAUAGCAUUUGAAACUGGCAGACUAUAGUACUGUAGAGGGGGGUAGAAUUUCAGGUGUAUCGGUGAAAUGC
rnacentral:rRNA from 1 species